GAGCUUCAGAGAUUAAAAUGUUUCUGAAACGGAGCAGGAUUGUGUGGUCCUUGCUCCCUCACCAUGUCUUCUGCCUGCCUUUUGCCUGUGGAAGACUUUAGUCAAAGAAUCAUCAAAGAAGUGAGAAAAUGCUGAAACAAAGGAAAACAGUCAAAGGAGACCAAAUGAUAAUAAUGUAGUCAUUAAGCACAGUCAAGGACCUUUAGUUCUUUCUCAAGGUCUAUAGAUAAUAUUCUGAGCCGUAUCCUGUGAGCUGUUAUAUAGAUACUGAAACACCAGGUGGGGAACUUAACUACAUGAUGACCAGCCGGUACCCAGGAUACGAGCUGCCACGAUUCUGAGAACUGAUCACAAAGAAAUGGGAACAAAUGGACCCUGGAAGUGAAGAGUAACUGAACCUAAAAGAAGAUUCUUUCCCCUUCCACAUUACUACAAAAUAUUGAGUAUAUUUCCCUGUGCUAUACACACCUGCAGGAGCACAGUAGCCAAGGCUGGAACAAUUUGAACAACCAAAUAAAGCAGUAUUAGGUUAUAAGCCAAAAUAUACAAUAAAUAAUAUCAGUUUGUAUUGACAUCAAUAAAUAUUGAAUGAAUGAAUACCUGGGCACUAAUAGGCAAAAUCUAUUUCCUGUUACCCAGUCCACAGAGCACUCUGUUCCUCUGAAAUUCGAUUUUGGAAUUACAAGAUGCUGUUAGUGCUGUUGAUGAAGUUUCUGAAAGAUUUUUUGGAGACAAAAAAUACACAUAUUUGUAUCUUCAGAAACAAUUUGUUUCAUGGAAAACAAAUGUAUAUAUAUAUAUAUAUUUAACAAUUAAUUUUUGUUUUUUGAAAUCAUGGCAAGACAUAUAACUAAAUUACACCUUUUUUUUUUUUUUUUU
ensembl:lncRNA